rnacentral:tRNA from 1 species
GCCGGGGUGGCGGAACUGGCAGACGCGCCGGAUUCAAAAUCCGGUCCCCGUUAAGGGGGUAAGGGUUCGACUCCCUUCCCCGGCA